AAAUAAAUAAAUUUGGUGUAUUUACUGUCUUCUGAUUGGUUAAAAGAAUUAGCUUUAUUUUCAAUGUUAUCAAUUUUUAUGGCGACACGCCCACUCUAACGUUGUGUAUUCAUACGCAAACAUCUGUGUACGUUGUUAUUCGUAUAAAUAUACAUCUUUGAGCCUUAUUUUUUAUAGAAAUUUAUUUAUAAUGAAUGGCAAUAAUUUAUUUUGAAUUUAU
rnacentral:lncRNA from 1 species